UAUUUAUUUAUGCUUGAGUCACAAAUUAAGAUUCUUUUUAGCUGACGACGCAGCUUGUCGCCGAUAUGAGAGUCCUUGUGAAUGAGAGGGCACAAUUUAUGCCAAGUGCUUGGGGCGGGAUGCGCACACUCUAGAGCACACACUUCCGGCACGGCCACAUCAGGCUUGACUUGACUUGACUCCACAAACUUGGCUAGUCUCUUGAAGAGGAGCACCAACAGCAGCAGCUGGCAGCUGACUGCUAACUGGGCGUGGCUACGCCCUGAUGUCUCAGGCAUGCAGAAGAGAGCAUUGUUAACAAUUCAGGACACAAAGACGAGCGCCCACUGACAGAAGAGUAUGCAGCAAUAAUAUUAAUAAUAAUAAUAACAAUAAUCAGCUGCCUCUGCCGCAAUAUUACUUGCCACACGAGGGACACAUAAAGACGUUGCCGCUCCCACACUGGAGCUACGAGUCGCGACAUGCAGCAUUCUUUGGGUAAGUUUGUGCCGCAUGGGCAGAGGCAGAGGGUUGUCCUGUGAUUUGCUUUGAUUUGCCCAGGCACGCAUCAUUGACGUGCCGUGGGCUACACACACAAUUUACAUGCGUACAACGAGCCGCAGUCAGUCAUUAAUUUCAAUUUUGUCUGUUUGCCAAGAGCAGCAGCCGACACCACACCCGCAGCCAGGCCGGGACAUAACUGAAGGGUUUUCAGAGACAAGAAUUAUUUAUUUACCAGCGUUUUGGGGCAACAACUGAUGCUAUUCGUUUGUGGCGCUGCGAUUCCUUCAAAUGCUGGCCGUUUGCCUCCUGCUGCUCCUUUGAAUUUUGGACAGCUGCUUCGCCUCCAAAUCGCACUACUUCUCUUAAAUUUCUCAGGCUACUCUUUUUUUCAGCAUUCUCAAGCCAUUGCUGCGCUGCAUUGUGCCCCUUUUGCUUGUUAGCCUUAGCUGCUUUUCUUCGGCUCUUCUCAAGCCGACUCUCAAACCCUUCUAGUGGGUAAUAUGGCUUACUAUUGAAUGUGUUAUGCAGAACCCCCCACAGCAGUCGUACAUAUUCCCAAUUAAUUUUAAUUUAUAUACAAACUACAUACUCUUUUGGCUUUAAAAUGAUCGUCAUAUCGGUAUUGGCCUGAUCGAACAGCUAUAUCUUAUCGCUGCCAUAGCAAUAAUCGAUCGCAAGUUAAGCUCUUGUGAGAACAACUUUUUGGCUUUUCGAAUUAUUUUAAAUAUAAACAAAAUCGGAGCAAGCCAGUUUUUUUCUGUUUAUUAUUAGAGUCUUGCAUCUUCGGCGUGUUGAAGACUCUAUCCUUCUUGAGUUCGCAUUCCCUAAGCAACUGCACAGCAAUUGCUCCAACUGCUCCGCUUCAACAGUUUUUCCCCUUCUCCUUUGCCUUGACUACUUCAGCUGGCCGUCGCCAAUUACAUUUGCUUGUCGUGCUUCAACAUUCUGCGCUCCAUCUCUCGCAAGUCUGCCGCUGCUUGAUGGUCGCAGCAGCAGCUCCAACGACUCUGCCACACGCUGCCAGGCCGCCUGCAACGUGGUGGCCUGUGGCCCUUUGCCCUCAUUUGGUUUUUGGCCAAAAUAAACAAUAAAUUAAAUUGCCACAUUUGAUUGCUGCCUCCCAGCUGUGGCUUCAGAGUUGCCUGUGUACCUGCCUGGCGAGCAACAUUUUUGAUAUGACUAAAUGUAUGGCCAUACAUUAUGCAGUUGCUUGUCUUUGCCACACGCACCGUCCUAAUAACAGCUACCCUUAAGCGAAUCCCUACCCCUAGCGCUACCCCUACCCCUAAGCCCAAACGCCUCGCCCCUUAGGCAAGCAUAUAAUGUCAUUUUUUCUCAAGUUACGAUCAUUUACGCAUUUAUUUUCAACAUCAUUUGCUCUGCCGCCGACUUUUGUGCAAUUGGAAUUCAAAUUCAAGCCGCAGCCAGGACAUGGCCCGGAAUAUAGCAAGAUUUAUGUGCGCCGAGGACAUUUUUCAUGCUGCACUAAAAUAAAAAAAAAAUAAUAAAAAAGUAGGGAAAACAAAGAAAAACGCACAAAACGUUCAUUGAAAACACAUUUUCACAGGCAGCACUCGAAAUGGCGAAUUCAAUAAAGCAUUACGUAAUAUUGCCAAGUCACACACACUCACACACACACUCAUGCAUUCGCACUCGCAUUAGUAAUGCAAAGCUGGCCAUGUGUGUGCAAUAAUUUACAACAUUUUAAUCGAAUUAGAAGCAGACGCUGGCGAAGAGCGUGAGCAGAGGGUUGCACAUGGUGCAAGAGAGGCAGCAAAGUAUGCAGAGAUGUGGCAGAUAGCAAGGGGGCGAAGUGUGAGCGCCGGGGCAGCUUGUGUGGGCAACGCUGGCAGCUUGAGUGAGCCAAGAGCCGGGCCAAAAAGCAAAAGCAAAAUGCAUUUUAAGUGUUGCAAGCGGCGGGCGCUGUGUGUGGCAGGCAGCGUGUGUGGCAGUCAGGCAGUUGGCGCAAGUGCCAACGGCUAAAGCAUAAGACAAAAAAGAAAUUAUAUAAACACACACAAACACACACACACACACACACAUACAGCCACUGCGCAAAAUAUAUAAAAAGCAAGAAGCAGCAAAGCGUUAGAAUUUGUUUUGAACAAGUGCCAACAAAUGCUUUUUAUUGUUUUUGUUCUCAGUUGCAGCUUGCGCUUGGCCAAAACUUAUUUUUUGCUAAAAAAUUAAAGCAAACGUUUAAAAAGUUUAUAAAACUAAAUUCACAAAGAGAGCUUUAAUUGCAUGCAGAAAUAAACAAUAAAAGCAUUGGUCAGACUUCAUAGGCAAACAAUUAAGCUAAAUUACUGUUUUAUAAACUCAACUUUGACGGCGCACUAAAACAGUGUUGUGCAGCAGCUAAAUGUCAAGUCUUUUAGAUUAAACUAAUAGCUGUAGCUGAAGCUUUCGAUAGAAAACACGCUUUCCAGACAGGCUCCGAACAGUUAUUGAAGAUCACAGCAAAUUAAUAAGUUUAUGAAAGCUUAAAAAGACAGGAGCUUUAAGAAAGUGUUGUUUUUAAAAAAGAUGAGAUCAUCUAUUCAGGCCUUAACCUGAGCUCACAGCUAAUCUAUUAACCAAAUAAGCUGAUCUGUUAAAAGUAGAUUAAGACAUGAGAGCUUUAAUAUUAAUAAGCAUACUUAAAGCUUCAAUUAUAUUACAGCCCCAAUGCUUCAGCUAAUGCACGCUCGCAUCAUUUUAUUUCCAGCUAACAGCUUUGAAAGCGCAUUAAGCCUCAAGCUUUAAGCUUUAAUAUGCUCAAUGCAUACAAUUAAGCUUACUUAAAGCAUCAAACUGCAUGAUAUUCUCCAUCUAGCAGCCACUUUGAGCGCUUUUUAAUGCAUAGCCAAAUAUACAAAAACCCACUGAAGAUUUGCUCAAGCGAUUCGGCAUUUUUUUUUUUGUGUUCCUUAAACCAAAAGAGGACGCUGCAUAAAGGGCCAAAAGUAAAUUGUCAUAAAUUCCAGGCAAUAAAUUUCUAUUUGUUUUCAUUUUUAGCCAGUUUCAUUUGCUGUUCUGCACCGAGUGGCACCGAGCCGCAGCCACAGCCAUAGCCACAGCGCACAAUGCCAGUUAUGUUGCCAGUUAUGGUGCUGCACAGUUGCACACACACACACGCACGCAAACAAACACACACACAUAGAGCGAAAUAAGCUAAAAUGUUGUGUGCCAAAUAAAACGUCAGUUUAUGCAGCCGACCCAAACGCUGGGCUGCAACUGCGCGCAUUUAUUAUAAUAUUAUUAAGUAUACGCCAAGUAUGGCGCAGCAGAGCGCAGCGAAGCACAACGCAACAUUGGGGCGUAUUUCAUUGUUGACAUUUAGUAACAUUUAUUGGGCAGCUGCACGAAACUUCUCUAAAACUGAAUCAAUCUAAUCGCAGCCCAGUGAGCUGAAAAGAGAGGCAAAGCGCAGAACGUGAUGGUAAUGUUGUGUAAUGUAGUUGGUUGGACAGCGAGAAACCUUGUUUACAUUAUGAUAAGUUGACCAGAAAUAGAGAGUUUCAAGCAUAAGCUAUUCUCUUCGCUAUGCUUCUUACUUCCUAGUAUUUAUAAGGGAGAUUUUGGUCAACGAAACGCUUCUCGCUUUGGCUCUUGCUUCUCGCAUAUUUCUUAUGCACACCUCUUCAUGGAUACGCUGGAUACGCCCAUGAUUAUAAUUUAUGAAUUGCCUUCAUAAUUUUUAAGUGAAUGCACUUCUUAUUUCGCGUCACAAUUCCCGCCUUCCAUAGCUCGCUUCUUUUCUUAAACCCUAAGAUAUCUGCCGAUUAAUAAAGAGCAUAAGAAAUGCUUGAAACGUUAAUACUUCCCACUUCUCUCUCUGCUUAACGCUUUGCUUCUAAUACUUUGCUGCCAGUUAUACUUUAGCCCAUAUCUGUCACUUAUUUCUUGGACAGUUUUUGGCUGACUUCUCUGUUUGCUUCUUACUGUUGCUUCUUUCUGUUACUCCUUUCUUAAGUUAAGUUUAUUUUUUUUGGUUAUUCCCACACCCGUCUGCUUUUUGCUGCGCUUAUCUACAAUAAAUUAUUCUGUCCAUAUAAAACGUAAUGAAAAGCGCUUUCAUUUCGCGUGGCACUAUUACAUUUAUGCCACACCUUGUGGCAGCUGCCUCGACUUACGAUUUCGGAAGCAUGCAUCGCCAGCUGCUUUUGCUGCUGUUGCUGCUGCCGCUGCUUCUGCUGUCACUUAAUGUCACUUGCUGCUAAUAACUUUUGUCUUUGCGCCAUAAAAAAUCGAUGUGGCUCGAGUUAGAUUCACAGCCCGCAGCUCACAGCUUGCGACAUGAGCCGCAUUACAAGUGAUUGGUUUGACAUGAGCACAGAGCGCGAAGGGGCGGCCGAGCCAGCGCGCUGUUGCUGCCACUCGCCUGUCACAAAAUCCGCUAAGCGCCCCAGACAACUCGUGACAUGUAAUGAGCCGCCCUCUGAGCUCCAUUCAGCUCUCGUGUGAGACCCAACAGCUUUGGGUGUUGCGGCAAUAUUUCAAUUUUAUUCGUCUUGUAUGGCUUUUAGGACCAUCCGAAGAUUUCUCGCAUUACUAAAUUAAUAUUACCCAGCAGCGAGAAGCAAAAUGCAUUGUGUUUAAGAAUGUAACGGAAGUUAACUAAACAAUAAGUGAAGAAAGUAAUAAUAUUAGAUUGAGUAACGCUACUUUAAAGAGCAGGAAGAAGCGAAGGUAUAAACAAAGUUAGAAUCUAGAGAAUCUUUCUAACAUCGCGAAGCUCACAUUUAAGGCAAAAACCUACACUCGUUCCUGUUAAUAAAUAGACUUUUGCUAUAUUUUACGGCCAUUGUUAGUGUUACACCUGUUUUUUUUUGCAUUUCCAUUAGGGUGACCAUUUUGUCGACUAGGGUAAUUCCGGCUGCCCCAAAAAGUAGGCUACGAGAAAAAUUAAAUAACAAUUUCGUGGCUUGUUAAUGUUGCAGAGUGACAUGCGAACGUUGCAUUAUGGAAUGUUAUUAUAAAAUCUUGCCACAAGCACACACAAAGACAACAUACUGUUACACACACACACACACACACAUGGAGCAGGGCACUAUUUGUAUGCAUUUAAACGACUCUAUUUACCACAAAAUGGCUGCGCUGCGAAAUCGACAACAACAAUAACAAUAACAACAGCUGUAACUGCAGCCACGGGGCAUGCAACAACAUGCCAACAAACAAUGCCAACGAUAAUAAUAAUGAUACCAACAACAACAACAGCAACAACAACUGGCAACCAGGAUUUUAAAAGCCAAGCGCUGGUAAGGACUACAAUAAAAUCAGGCAGCCAGCAAAUACAAUUUCUAGUGGGCGUGUGUAUGUGUGUGUGUGUGUUUGUGUGCUUGUGUGUGCACUUUACGGCUAUUUAAAAUUUAAAUAAUAGCGAAAAACCGCACGAAAUAAUAAUAAAUCAUAGGAAAUAUGCACGCGCGCCCUUUUCCUCCCAAGCCCCCGUUCAAGCUCUGCUCCUAUUUUUGUGUGUGUGUGUGUGCGUGCGUGCGUGUAUGUGUGUGUGUGUGUGUGUAUUUGGUAGCGCGUGUGUUGAUUUAAUAGUCGCGGUCACAAGCAUUAUGGCAUGUUCAUGAUUGCCACACCUACACGCCCCUUGCACUCGAGCCCUUAAAAUAAACGUGACCAGCUAGUCGCAGCUAGCAGCGACCCUCCCUUCCGUCAUCCAGCCCCCUCUCCGUCAGCCGACUAGGCCACUGUUGGCCAUUAUAUGUUACGCUUACGGCUUUUCGCUGUUGUGUUUGCUCGUUCCUCAACCGCUUCUCCCUCUCGCCUAGCUCUUUUUAUAUGCAAAUUCCGCUUUUAGCUUUAUUCGCAUAUGCGCAGUUUUUCAUUAUUUAUUGUGUGUUUAAACAGAUUACGUAUACGCCGCAUGUGCGUAUGUGUGCGUAUUGGCCAUGUGGCGCACCCACAUCUUUUUGGCCAAGAUUACGGCUGAUGACGGUCGCAAAUUGAUUGUGAUACAGGUGAGAAAAUGUUGUGUAAUCUUUGGCAGAUGUUUUCCAGAUAACGGCAGAAGCUGUUACAUUUAAUAGUCAUAGUUUAUUCAGACAUUAACAUUAGAUAAGAUAAUUGUUGUUCUUGUCGAAAUUUAGUUUUGCUUAAAGAAUUUCCUAAAAAUUAAAUUACAGUACAAUUCUU